rfam:Triticum aestivum genome assembly, contig: Triticum_aestivum_CS42_TGACv1_scaffold_372799_4DS
UAUGUACUCCCUCCAUUCAGAAUUACUUGUCUCGGAAAUGGAUGUAUCUAGAACUAAAAUACAUCUAGAUACAUCCAUUUCUGCGACAAGUAAUUCCGAACGGAGGGAGUACAUC